UACGGAGGGGACUAGCGUUGUUCGGAAUUACUGGGCGUAAAGCGCACGUAGGCGGAUUUGUAAGUCAGGGGUGAAAUCCCGGGGCUCAACCUCGGAACUGCCUUUGAUACUGCAAAUCUCGAGUCCGGAAGAGGUGAAUGGAAUUCCUAGUGUAGAGGUGAAAUUCGUAGAUAUUAGGAAGAACACCCGUGGCGAAAGCGGCUCUCUGGAACGGUACUGACGCUGAGACGCGAAAGCGUGGGGAGCGAACAGG
rnacentral:rRNA from 1 species